rnacentral:rRNA from 1 species
GACGAACGCUGGCGGCGUGCCUAAUACAUGCAAGUAGUACGCAGUUGCGAACGGCCGAGUAACGCGUAGGUAACCUGCCUCAUAGCGGGGGAUAACUAUUGGCAACGCUAGCUAAUACCGCAUUCUGUGAGAUGGACCUUCGUUGUAUUAGCUAGUGGUUGAGGUAAAGGCUCACCAAGGCGACGAUACGUAGCCGACCUGAGAGGGGGUGCGGCCACCCUGGGACUGGGACACGGCCCAGACUCCUACGGGAGGGAGCAGUAGGGAAUCUGCGGCAAUGGACGGAAGUCUGACCGAGCAACGCCGCGUGAGUGAAGAAGGUUUUCGGGUCGUAAAGCUCUGUUGUUAGGGAAGCGGUAACGAGCCAGAAAGGGACGGCUAAGUACGUGUCAGCAGGCGCGGUAAUUC